ensembl:lncRNA
CGGGAACGUGCGGUUUCAAGCGUACUCAGCUAGAGGGAGGAGCGACAGUGCUCUAGAGGCUCGUGCGCAGGCGCCUCGCGGAGCAGGGGGCUGGAGCUUGGGCUGCUGGGCGAAAUGGCCGCGGGAGGCGCAGGCGCACGUGGUGCUGAUCAUGGAACGUCUAAACUCCGCCAUUUUGAAGGAAAAAUGAAGAAAGGGUGGAUGAGAAGAUACUUUGAGACUUACAAAGAAAUUGAAAGACUAGAGGAAGGCCAUAAUGAUGCAAGAAAUAUCAAAGAGGAGGUGACUUUGAAGGACAAAGGAGAUAAGAGGGUCCAUUUUCAGCAUAACGGAUAUGACCAGGCAUGGCUGAGAGGAACCAGAGAUACCAGGCAGACCUGUGAGAUCAGCAAAUGUGCCAGGCGAACUUAGUAGGAUCCUUCACGGGCACAGUCGGGCCCCUCCCCUGCCAGGGUGUCCUGGCACCCCGGAAUGCUGAUACGGAGCCCUGAGGAUCAGCGAAGGGUCUCUCCUCUCCAGUUUAUCAGACUCGCCACUGUUCUCCUCAUUGUUCAGGUCUGUGGUGUUUCCAGGUAUAGUAUCUUUCAGUUUUGAGGUCCCUGUGGGACCCAGGGAUCUUUUCUGAGGUUGGGAAUGCCCUCCUGGGCUCUCAGCCUCCCUCUUUUCCACACUCAGUCAUCCUCCUGAGUCCUGGCUUCCAUCUCAGGGAAGCUGGAGCAGAGUGAGAGUGACAGUGGCUCCCAGGCCUCCUUCCUUCCCCAUUCAGUUUGAGUAGAGUGGGGACAGGGUCCCCUGCCUGAUUCUCAAAGGCCCUGCCCCUCGUGCACACUCAUCAGAAUCCCUCGAUGGUGACCUAUGCUGUGACAGCAGACAGGCCUCUCAAGACUGCUUGGUGCUCUGCUUCAGGAAAAGUCCAGAAGGGAGAGACCCCUCAUCUUGGCCACCUGGGAAAACUAGGAACAAACAAGAGGGAAAAGGGUGUGGGGGAGGAGGGAAGAAAGAAUCACUCCUGCUUUUUCAGUAGAUGUUAGUGCCAGGUGAGAACCAGGAUGAGCCCCAGGGCUGCUGCCGAUUCCUUCUGCUCCUCCUCCUCCUCCCCCUCUAGAUCUGCCCUUGUGUCACUUCCGGGAGGGCCCUCACCUCACAGGGCUGCUCAACAACAUCCUCUGUGUCUGUGCCCCACAGUCCUGGCGGGGACCUCUGCUCUUCUUCCUUUGCCUUAAGAUAUAAUUGUCACUUACCUGCUGCUUCCAGCACUAGACUGUGCACUCCUCUGGGCAUCUCAGGGAUCCAGGGAGCCAAGUCUGGUACCUAGAGAAUGACGAAACAGCUGUGUGGGAAAGCCGUCCUGCCUCUUUUUAUCUAGUGCUGCCGGGAGAACCAGGGGAGCAAACCCAAUCUGCCUCUUCUCAAAUUUCCUCACCUUGCAGCUGCCCAGGAGGCCUCAGGCGCAGAAGGCAGAGAUGGGUGGUUCCCCUGGCACUGCUGCCCUGCCAGCCUCUUUUGUUUUGACCCGCUCUGUGAACUCCGUAGUCCCAUCCCUCCCACACACACCCAGAGAAGCAGGAGUCAUGGGCUACAGAGAAAGGGGUGUCCCCAGGCUACUAAAACUCUACCUCCCAGGUCAGGUAGCCAGACCUACCUGAAGAAGCACUCCAGCAGGUGGCUCCAUUGGGGCCCCCAGGAGAGUGUCCCCAUCAGCGCUCAGGGUGCACUGAAACCCCAGACCUUACCUGCUCCUUCGCAGAGUUCCUGUGCCUGGCAUUCCUGAAGGCCUCUUGAGUGUGUGGCCCCAGGCCUGAAGCCAUGGGGACACAGACGUGGAGAGGUAUGCAUUCUGCCCACAACGAGAGUUUAUUCAGAUUUUGGGGACCAGACCUGGAAUGAAAGAGUUAUGUACACAUUAACUGCUUGGUUAUUAAUUCCUGGGUCAAUGGGACCAGCCUGAACUGCUCAUCCCAUCCCCCCGACGCACCUUUACAGCCUCCACAGGAUGCUCCAGGGUCUCUCUCCCAUGAUGUCUCCCCAGAUUCACCUGCUCCUUCGUCUCUUCACUCUUAUACUCACUCCCAAUGACUAUGCUGCAUUUGAAAUAGGAAUGUGGAAGGUUGUAAUGCAGUGUUUCUUGUGCAUGCAACACCUCUAUGAUUUUUCCCAUACAUGCUUUCCUAUGAUUUGCUAAUUUUUCUUUACCAGGCCUUACUUUUAUUUCUUUUUACCUAUUAUAAACAGAACUAUAAAAGUAAAUACGUAUCUGGCAGUGCCACCAUCUUCAACAGACCUGCCAAAGCCACUGAGGGUGGAGAAGAGAGAACUGAGAUGGCACAUAGGUGGUGUUUUAGGCCAGGCAGGCAGGUCUGGAAGUGGCGACACCACUUCUGUCUUCAGUCCGUUGUCCGGAACUCAGUCACUAGGCUCCAAACCAAGGGCAAGCGGCCUGGGAAACGUAGUUUAGUGUGUGCCCUGGAGCAGAAGGCAACUGCAUUGGUGGCCACGUAGCCAGACUCUGCCUCCCUAAUGAGAAAAGCAUUAGGAUCGGUGUCAGAAGUCCUGGGUUAGAGUCAUUCUUUUAGUGUUCCCAGUUCUCCAGGCCCUGAUUCCCUCAUUUGAAGGAUGGGAAAAAUUAUACCAGCCUUGCCCAUCUCCCUGGGUGUUUUCACGGACAGGUGGCAUCAGCAUGUAGUCUAUAAAAAUUGUUGUUAAAUUGAACUCUAAAGGGCUAGGCCAGGGGUACUGCUACAUCUAGAAAGUAUUCAGGGGAAUCUGAGCAUUCAAAGUUCCUGACUGUGUCUACGCAAAUAUCCACAUCUUAAGUCUCAGAAUCCCCUUCUUUCCUUUUAGGCCUUUGACUAUGGAAGGCCGUAAAGAAAGCCAUCAGGCUGAAAAUUCAGGAUUCUCUGAUGCUCCAUGAUUAUGAUUAAGACCUCAGCUUGAGUCUGGUCCUCUGCUCUGGCUGCCCUCUGGUUGCAGGAUUAGGGUCUCCUUAAAUACUGCCAAGGAGGCCUUCUUGCUUUCACGUUUUGCCUUGAGUUGGUGAGUGACCCCCUGUGCUGGCCUUUAUCUCUCUUCAAUGAUUCAGCAGCUCUCAGCCACACCCAAUUCCAUUGUCUUUCCGGUCACCAUCUCCCUCAUACCUCUCCAGUGCUGGGAUGUUGUACCUGCCAGUGUGUCCCCUUCUACUGGUAUCCCAUCCCAGCUCACCACCAGUGAAAGUUUUAACAAUUGCUGCAGCAUGCCAGGGGCUGUCUGUAUUCCACCAGCCACUAGUUGUGAAGUCCUCAUUGCCAGCUAGCCAGCAAAUGAUCCACUUCCCAAAUCCCUUUUUAGGAUUGGCUUCCCAUAACCACUCCCAACACUGCCUAUCCUAGCAUGGGUUCCCAUUCUGAGAUGGAAAAUUGCACACUAUCCACCCAUACAGAGUGUUUAUUGGAAAGUGUUUGCGGCAGAUGCACUUGUAAGGGAAUGAGGAAGGCAGGGCUGGGCAGGGACAGAAGCUGGGCUGUAACCCAGUUGCAACUGAGGCCUCAGCACAUCCUAGGAGGAGCCCUGGAGUUGAAAUGACCCUUUAAAAUUGUCCCAAAUUGAAGCAAGGGAGGGUGGGCAUUGGAUCCCUACAUCAGCCGGGCACUAGCUGUGGACUGCUCCCACCAACGGGGCAGUUUCUCACAGCCAGGGCAAUUCCCCCUGAAUACUGGCUGCCACUAACAUUCCCAGCAGCUGGGGGAUGCAUGUGUCCCCUGGAAAGGGAAUAUGGGGCGAGCACCACAGUAUCCACUAUAGCAAGGCUUCAGCUCUUGGUCUGUGUUCUCACAUGGCCACAAUCCUAGAGCUCACACCACUUUCUAUGGCAGCCGCCCCUCCUUAUGACCAAAAGACCCUGGAGGUUAGCGUUUCUCUCUUGUUAUUUAACUUCUGUACAUUGUGAGGGAGGGGAGCUCAGGAAAAUGUGGUUGGUCCCCCACACCACUUCAGAACCACGGUCAGUUAGGUGAGGCUGUCGCAGGACCUCUGUGUCCCUGAUAUCCCAUUCACCAAUUUUUAUUCCAUGGCUCCCACUGCAUGAGGACAUGAGAAACUCCAGCGAGGUACCAGAGUUCUGGAGAGAAAGAGAGAACAGAGCUCCUCUGCUCCCAGAUCGCUAAACUUACUAUGUCUCUCUCGGUGCUGCCCAAAGGGUACCCACGAGCCACAUAUAGGUAUUUAAAUUUAAAUUAAAUUAAAUUUAAAACUCAGCUCCUCAGUCACACUAGCCACAUUUCAGGGGCUCAACGGCCACAUGUGUCUAGUGGCUACUGCACUGGACGGUGCAGAUAUAGAAUGUUUCCAUCGUUGCAGAAAGUUCUGCUGGACAGUGCUAGACUAUUGUCUUCCAUCGCAUUCGGAUCUAAGCUGGGUGGGAAAUGACACCCUCUUCUCUGAGAUCCCCACCAGUCUCCAGUUCUCUUGCUUUUUCUCCAGGCUGUCUUCUGUUCCAUUUUCAUCUCCUCUUGAGUGUGUGAGUGUGCAUGGGG